rnacentral:misc_RNA from 1 species
GGUGCUAACAGGGCAGGAUCCCUCGGUUACAUUAGAGAGGUGAACCGAGCAGAGGCUGUGAAGGUUGUCGCUGGCGCCUUGGCUCAGCAACAGCUCCUGGACAUCGGACAGGCAGUAGUUGGCCACCGUGGGAUCCAAUGCGAGAGACCCUGUCUGCUUGCUAGACUGCCCUAUGAGGAUGGUCAGUGUUGCCUGAAGCUGCGGGCAGCAGAUGACAUUGGCCAGGAAAGGAGCAAACGAGGUGAAGCAGUCGACAGCUGUGGUGGUCAUGAGUUUGUCGACAGCGGUAAAGUUCAGCGUGCAUUUUCCUG